ACGGAGGGUGCAAGCAUUGAUCGGAAUUACUGGGCGUAAAGGGCGCGUAGGCGGCCGAGAAAGUCAGAUGUGAAAUUCCGGGGCUCAACCCCGGAGCUGCAUUUGAAACUUCUUGGCUAGAGGAUGGUUAGGGAAAACGGAAUUCCACGUGUAGCGGUGAAAUGCGUAGAUAUGUGGAAGAACACCAGUGGUGAAGACGGUUUUCUGGGCCAAACCUGACGCUGAGGCGCGAAAGCUAGGGGAGCAAACAGG
rnacentral:rRNA from 1 species